rnacentral:sRNA from 1 species
GAUGGAAAAGAAAGGUUGGGGAGAAGAGUUCAUGUCAUAACGUUUCUCAUUGUAUUGUCAGGCUGUUGGAGAAGUCUGGGGGCUUGGAAAUCAUCUUUGAUGUUUACCAGGCCGACGCUGUGGCCACAUUCCGAAAGAAUAACCCUGGCAAACCCUAUGCCCGGAUGUGCAUUAGUGGAUUUGAUGAGCCUGUCCCAGACCUCUGCAGCCUCAAGCGGUUAUCUUACCAGAGUGGGGAUGUCCCUCUGAUCUUUGCCCUGGUGGAUCAUGGUGACAUCUCCUUCUACAGCUUCAGGGACUUCACGUUGCCCCAGGAUGUGGGGCACUGACGUCACAGCUCUGCAGAGGAUGGAGCUUGCUCCGGGGGACCGGGACUGUCUGUUCUCAGGGACCAUCUCGGCUGCUUCCUGUACCCAGACUCUAACCUGUAGCUUCAGAGGCCAGUCUGGGCCUUGGCCCUGGGUGUCUGAUACUCACAGAGUGAAACUGUGACCCUCUUCCUUCCCUGCUGCCUUGCAGUGACCCCUCUGGAACUCAGGACUCGAUUUUAAGGACCCAGGAGGUGGAGCAGAAGAGAGGACUGUGUGCCUUUAACGAGAGGGUGCCUGCUUCGUGCUAUAAAGCCAAAGCCAUUAAAAAUAGAUUUCUUU